rnacentral:misc_RNA from 1 species
UCUGGUGAUUUUGAGACACGUAAAAAAGCUGCAAUCAAGUUCCUUGAAAAGGGUAACAAAGUUAAGCUUAAUUUACGUUUUCGUGGUCGGAUGAUUACCCACCAAGAUAUUGGACGGGAAGUUCUUGAACGAAUGGCCGAAGAAUUAGACGACAUUGCCAAGGUUGAGCAACGUGCCAAGAUGGAUGGUCGCCAAAUGUUUUUGGUUUUGGCCCCUCGGAAGGCUAAGUGAUACUAGUAACUAAUUUGAGCACUGCUCGAGCUAGCACAAAACGAUAGGAGAUUGGUCCACAUGCCAAAGAUGAAGACACACCGCGCUUCUGCAAA